GGGAAAAUUUCCGAAAUUUGGUCGCAACAGAGUUUGAUCCUGGCUCAGAACGAACGCUGGCGGCAAGCUUAACACAUGCAAGUCGAACGGACCUAGUUUAUAGCUUGCUAUAAACUAGGUUAGUGGCAGACGGGUGAGUAAUGCAUAGGAAUCUACCCAGUAGUACGGGAUAGCCACUAGAAAUGGUGGGUAAUACUGUAUAAUCCCCGCGGGGGAAAGAUUUAUCGCUAUUGGAUGAGCCUAUGUUAGAUUAGCUAGUUGGUGGGGUAAUGGCCUACCAAGGCUGUGAUCUAUAGCUGGUCUGAGAGGAUGAUCAGCCACACUGGAACUGAGAUACGGUCCAGACUCCUAUGGGAGGCAGCAGUGGGGAAUAUUGGACAAUGGGCGCAAGCCUGAUCCAGCUAUGCCGCGUGAGUGAGGAAGGCCUUAGGGUUGUAAAACUCUUUCAGUAGGGAAGAUAAUGACGGUACCUACAGAAGAAGUCCCGGCAAACUCCGUGCCAGCAGCCGCGGUAAUACGGAGGGGGCAAGCGUUGUUCGGAAUUAUUGGGCGUAAAGGGCAUGUAGGCGGUUUGGUAAGUUAAAAGUGAAAUGCCAGGGCUCAACCUUGGAGCUGCUUUUGAUACUGCCAGACUAGAGUCCGGGAGAGGAACGGGAAUUUUUCCUUAGAAGAAA
rnacentral:rRNA from 1 species